CACACCCUUGACGAAUCUUGCAAUCCAAAAACGAGAGAGGAAAAGCGAUUGGAGCCGGAGAGGAGAGGAGAGGAGAGGAGAUGCCUGUUGCAACUCGAAUUUGAGUUCGCAUUUGCAUUUGCUGCUGAGUGUCUGCAGGGACGAAUCAGAGCAGCAUCGACAGCGAGAUCACGACGAGCGAGCGAGCGAGCUUCCAGGGCAGGAGAAUGGCGACGGUGUCGUCCCUGUACAGGCGGGUCCUCCCGUCGCCGCCGGCGGUGGACUUCACCUCGCCGGACGGCAAGCGCCUCUUCGUGGAGGCCCUCGAGGGCGGCACCAUGGAGGGCUUCUUCAGCCUCGCCUCUUGCUUCCAGACGCAGUCCGAGCCGGCCUUCUGCGGCCUCGCCUCCCUCGCCAUCGUCCUCAACGCGCUCGCCAUCGACCCCGGCCGCCGCUGGAAGGGCCCCUGGCGGUGGUUCGACGAGUCCAUGCUCGACUGCUGCGAGCCCCUCGACAAGGUCAAGGCCCAGGGCAUCACCUUCGGCAAGGUCGCCUGCCUCGCGCACUGCUCCGGUGCCGACGUUCAACCCUUCCGCGCCAGCCAGAUCACCGUCGAUGACCUCCGCCGCCACCUCAUCCGCUGCACCUCCUCUCGGGACUGUCAUCUCAUCGCUUCCUAUCACAGGAAGCCUUUAAAACAGACCGGGACUGGGCAUUUCUCCCCAAUCGGUGGCUACCACGCCGGACAGGAUAUGGCGCUCAUCUUGGAUGUCGCCCGCUUCAAAUACCCUCCUCAUUGGGUUCCACUGCCACUUCUUUGGGAAGCGAUGAACACGAUUGAUGAAUCAACCGGACUUCUCAGGGGGUUCAUGCUUAUAUCGAGGCACAAUGCAGCUCCUUCGGCACUUUACACAGUGAGUUGCAGAGAUGAAAGCUGGAAAAGCAUGGCAAAAUAUUGCGUCAAAGACUUACCAAAUAUUUUGAAGGCUGAGAGUCUUGACAGUGUUCCAACACUUUUGUCCCAUUUUAUUGAUUCUCUUCCAGCUAAUGCUGGAUCUUUGAUCAAAUGGGUUGUUGAAGUUAGGAGAAAAGAAGAAGAAGGACCAUACUUAAGCAAAGAGGAAAAGGAAAGGCUUUUUGUGAAGGAAAAUGUAUUACAGCAAGUUCAUGAUACCAAACUAUUUAUGAUAGUCCAUGACCUGCAAUGUGCUCAUAUCCCAUGUUGUAAUUGUUCGUCGUCAAGUGAAGAUUCCAUUACUAGGAUUGCAGCCUCUGUGCGUAGUCAAGGAGCCUCAAUGCUAUCAGGAAACCUUGUCUCAAGUGAUGGUUUCUGCUGCAGGGAAACAUGUUUUAAAGGUGUUCAAGCGAAUGGUGGUGGGCCUAAUACUGUUGUCUCAGGCUCUGUGGUAUCUGAAGGCAAUGAACAGGGUGUUGACAUGCUUUUACCAAUGCCCUCUCUCAGCAUGAGUUCGUGCAAUUCAAACUUGUGCAAUGAAAUCAUCAAAUAUCCAUCAAGCGCGGUUGUUCUAACUAUUCUACUGCUGGCUUUACAUCCGAGCACAUGGUUCAGCAUCAUGGAUGAGAAGCUGAAAACCGAAUUUCAGACUCUUGUUUCAACAGACAAUCUACCUGAUGUUCUUAAACAGGAGCAUAUUAUAUGUUCAAGGUGGCCUUCAGAGGUAACCUAGAUCCACCACCUUAUAGUGACGCAAGGAGGGCAUGGCUGGAUAGGGUGGUGCAGAGAUCGAGAUCUCUAUAUCAAGCUUUGUGCCAAUUGGAUCAUAGCAUAUAGCCUUCUUAGAUAAUUCAUCUAAGGCGGCAACUCUAUUAUCUGAAGGCUUGCAAGGACGAGGAAUAUGAGGACCCUGUGCCACCAUCCCCUUAGCAGUGAUGCUGAAGUGCGGCAACCCUCUCACUUGAUGAGUUUAUUUGCUGGAACUUGAGAUCAAGAGAAAAGUUACGAGACUGGUACCGGGCAAGCAAUCACAUGAGGAUAAUUCUUAUAGUAGUAAUGGCGUAAUGUUGUUAGGCAAAUUGCCACAGGACAUGACCCUGAUAUUUAACUACAACAAAUUAACGCCUCUGCCUGCUGAAAGGUGAUAUUAAUUACGCAUGAUUUUCUAGGAAACAAAGGAAAGAAAAGAAAUGAUUUUGUUUCUAGACAAAAGAAGAGCAACAUAGUGACACCUUCAGUAACAGAUACGGCCUAAUUUCAGUACAGUAAUGUAUAAGGUUCUAAUGGAUCAAGAUAAUGAUUUAUCGUGAGCCAAGUUCUUGUGGAUGAAAGUCUCCCUCAAAAUAAACGGCUUUCUCUGGCAUUUGAUUCGAGUUGUGGCUUUGACGAAAGAUAACCUGAAAAAUGUAACUAGCAAGGUAGUGAUAAUUGUUGUUUUUUUAGUGACAAGGAAACUAUCCAAGAUUUAUGUUUUGAUAUCAUUAUGCAAAAUUCAUUUGGAUGAA